AACGAACGCUGGCGGCACGCCUAACACAUGCAAGUCGAACGGAUUAUAGGCUUCGGUCUAUAAUGAGUGGCAAACGGGUGAGUAACGCGUGGGAAUCUACCCUUCUGUGGGGAAUAACUUCGGGAAACUGAAGCUAAUACCGCAUACGUCCGAAAGGAGAAAGGCUUCGGUCGCAGAAGGAAGAGCCCGCGUUGGAUUAGAUAGUUGGUGGGGUAAUGGCCUACCAAGUCUACGAUCUAUAGCUGGUCUGAGAGGAUGGCCAGCCACACUGGGACUGAGACACGGCCCAGACUCCUACGGGAGGCAGCAGUGGGGGAAUCUUGGACAAUGGGGGAAACCCUGAUCCAGCGAUGCCGCGUGAGUGAUGAAGGCCUUCGGGUUGUAAAGCUCUUUCAGUGGGGAAGAUAAUGACGGUACCCACAGAAGAAGGACC
rnacentral:rRNA from 1 species